GACGAACGCUGGCGGCGUGCUUAACACAUGCAAGUCGAACGAAGUGGCGAACGGGUGAGUAAUACGUGAGUAACCUGACCUCCUUUUUGGGAUAAGCCUUGGAAACGGGGUCUAAUACCGAAUAAAGGGGGAUGGGCUCGCGGCCUAGCAGCUGGUUGGUGGGGUGAUGGCCGAGCAAGGCGGUGACGGGUAGCCGGCCUGAGGGGGUGACCGGCCACAUUGGGACGGAGGUACGCCCCAGACUCGUACGGCAGGCAGAAGUUGGGGAGAUUGCACAAGGGGCGAAAGCCGCAUGCAGCGACGCCGCGUGAGGGAUUAAGGCUGUCGGGUUGUAAACCUCUGUCGCUACCGAACGGGUAGCUGGAGAAGAAGCGCCGGCUAACUACGUGCCAGCAGCCGCGGUAAUUC
rnacentral:rRNA from 1 species